UACGUAGGGGGCAAGCGUUGUCCGGAAUCAUUGGGCGUAAAGCGAGCGUAGGCGGCCCGAUAAGUCUGCUGUAAAAGUCAACGGCUCAACCGUUGAAAGCCGGUGGAUACUGUCGGGCUAGAGUUCGGAAGAGGCAAGUGGAAGUUCCUGGUGUAGCGGUGGAAUGCGCAGAUAUCAGGAGGAACACCUAUAGCGAAGGCAGCUUGCUGGGACGAUACUGACGCUAAGGCUCGAAAGCGUGGGGAGCGAACAGG
rnacentral:rRNA from 1 species